UUAAGAAUCUUCCGCAAUGGACGCAAGUCUGACGGAGCGACGCCGCGUGAACGAUGAAGGCCGUGAGGUUGUAAAGUUCUUUUCUGGGGGAGGAAUAAUGAUGGCAGGGAAUGGUCAUCAGAUGACGUUAACCCAGGAAUAAGCCCCGGCUAACUACGUGCCAGCAGCCGCGGUAACACGUAGGGGGCGAGCGUUGUUCGGAAUUAUUGGGCGUAAAGGGUGCGCAGGCUGCAUAGGUAGUCUGAUGUAAAAUGUCUCGGCUUAACCGAGGCCUGCCAUUGGAAACUGCUAUGCUAGAGUACAGGAGGGGGAGUUGGAAUUCCAGGUGUAGGGGUGAAAUCUGUAGAUAUCUGGAGGAACAUCGGUGGCGAAGGCGAACUUCUGGCCAUGUACUGACGCUGAGGCACGAAGGCGUGGGGAGCAAACAGG
rnacentral:rRNA from 1 species